rnacentral:tRNA from 1 species
GCCUGGGUGGCUUAGUUGGUUAAGCGUCUGACUUCAGCUCAGGUCAUGAUUUCACGGUUCAUGAGUUCAAGCCCCACAUCGGGCU